UUACAUUUUUCACGUUCCAAAUUUACAUUCAUAUUUGCUUCAUCCACAUUAAAAAAAGGAAAUCCAUUAAUAUUGAAGGAAUUCUACAUAAUCAUUCAUAUUUCAAUUACGUCAUUCAUUCAUUUACAUGCAUGACCUUAAAACAUCACCACAUGAAUACAUGGAGUUUCUAAGAUGCAAAGAGAGAUCAUAGAACUCUUUUGUGAACUUGUUU
rnacentral:lncRNA from 1 species